UUUGGAUUAAUUCUGUUCUUGCUGUGGAGAGACUACCGAAGGAAAAUUCCGUACAGGGCGAGACUGCGCACUCUAUUGGCUAGUCUUUUCAGCUCAGACCUCUGGCAUUUGCACUAUGUUGCCUCUGGGGCUUUAAGCAUCUGAGUGGAGAUACUUCAGAUUCUUUUAAUCUGGAAGAAAGCAAAAACGGAGUGGCUGGAAGAACUCGGCCAGUCAGGCAGCGUCUGCAUCUGCAGUUGGCAAUUCAGCUCAAGACCCUGCACCAGGACUGAGAGUGUAGAGGAAUAUGCAAUGAUCAAGACCUUCGAUCGAGCAGGAAAGCAGCAUCCAUCAUCAAGGAGCCUCAUCAUCCA